UGUGCUAAACCAAUUUAAAAUCUAAGUUACCAACCCAAUAAUUUCCAAUAUACUAUAUUAUUUUAAUAAUACUAUUAUUGCGUUUGUAGGGGAUUCCAUGAUUUGUAUUUCCUUGGAGGAUUAAUGGUUGGGAUUCUUUUGAACAGUGAUAUGAAGAACUUGAUAGGGGAAGCUUCUUGCAGGAUUUGCCAAGAGAGCUUUAGCACUACUGUCACAGCUUUAUCUGAACCAAUAGACAUAUACAGUGACUGGAUUGAUGAAUGUGAACGGGUGAACAACCCGCCGGAAGAUGAUGGUGCUUAGUAGUGCGAUUAUAAGAAUCCAUUUCGAGCUGUAGCGGAUGGAAAAUUCUAUAUUUGUGUCAGCUCCUACUGCUGCAACUAUACAUGUUUUGUUCCUAUAUUACUCUCUAAUAGAGUUUGUAAAACUACAUACAUGUACGCUAAAACAAUGAGAAUAUGUGUGUUUGUCUCGUGUUAAUUUUCA